rnacentral:tRNA from 1 species
GCCCAGGUGGCGGAAUCGGUAGACGCAGCGGAUUCAAAAUCCGCCGCCGCAAGGUGUGGGGGUUCGAGUCCCCCCCUGGGCA